CGGCACCGCGCGCCUGGAGCUGAACGGCAACAACAUCACGCGCAUCAACAAGAACGACUUCUCCGGGCUGAAGCAGCUGCGCGUCCUGCAGCUCAUGGAGAACCAGAUCAGCACGGUGGAGCGCGGUGCCUUCGAUGACAUGAAGGAGCUGGAGCGGCUGUGAGUGCUG